UGGGGAAUAUUGCACAAUGGGGGGAACCCUGAUGCAGCGACGCCGCGUGAAGGAAGAAGGUAUUCGUAUUGUAAACUUCUGUCGCAGAUGACGAAAAGAUGACGGUAAUCUGUAAGAAAGCACCGGCUAACUACGUGCCAGCAGCCGCGGUAAAACGUAGGGUGCUAGCGUUGUCCGGAAUUACUGGGUGUAAAGGGAGCGCAGGUGGCAGUGCAAGUUGGAUGUAAAAUCUACGGGCUCAACCCGUAUAAGCAUUCAAAACUGUGCAGCUUGAGUGAAGUAGAGGUAGGUGGAAUUUCCGGUGUAGCGGUGGAAUGCGUAGAUAUCGGAAGGAACAUCAGUGGCGAAGGCGACCUACUGGGCUUUAACUGACGCUGAGGCUCGAAAGCAUGGGUAGCAAACAGGA
rnacentral:rRNA from 1 species